rnacentral:rRNA from 1 species
UCAGACGAUGCGUCAUGCAUAUCAAUAAGCGGAGGAAAAGAAACUAACAAGGAUUCCCUCAGUAACGGCGAGUGAAGCGGGAAGAGCUCAAAUUUGAAAUCUUGAAAGGUCACCUUUCACGAAUUGUAGUUUAAAGAAGUGUUUUCUGUUACGAUCGUAAUAUAAGUUCUUUGGAAUAGGACAUCACAGAGGGUGAGAAUCCCGUCAAUGAUUGCGAUUUGUAGCUUUGUGAUACACUUUCAAAGAGUCGGGUUGUUUGGGAAUGCAGCCCAAAACGGGAGGUAAAUUUCUUCUAAGGCUAAAUAUUGGCGAGAGACCGAUAGCGAACAAGUACCGUGAGGGAAAGAUGAAAAGAACUUUGAAAAGAGAGUUAAAUAGUACGUGAAAUUGUCAAAAGGGAAGCGUUUAACACCAGUGUUGUUUUCUGAAAAUCAACCUCUGUUAGCUUUAUGCAUGUUUGUUUAGACCUAAUCAGCUAUCUUGCAUGUUCUAUUGUUUGCAGUGGUGCACUUUUCAGUUUACAGGUCAACAUCAGUUUUUUUUACCGUAAAAAAGUUAAAGAAAGGUAGCUCAUGGCUCCGGUCGUGAGUGUUAUAGUCUUUUUCCUAUGCGGUAGGAGAGACUGAGGUCUGCAGUGUAGGCUAUUUGGCUAGAUACUCAGGUGCUAUGUGAUACCAUUUCAUAAACAACUUGUUGAUUAUGUUUUGUCUAUUGCAUACUCGCUUGUACUAUCAUACCUACGCUUAGGAUGUUGAAGACUCUACAGAGAUA